UUAAAGUCAUUCAUAAAGUGGAAAUAGUAUAGUACUAGUAUGUACUACGUAUAGAAAGAGAUGAUGCCUCUUCACUACAAGGAUGAUGAUCCAGAUAUUUUAGUUCAAAGUUGAAUUCCUAUUUGGGCCAUAAAAGGCAAAAAAAUAAUUCAGAAGAAAAGGAAAUUUUUUGGUGUGUACAAUAAAUAAAUCAAGUAGGUGGUCCAAUCACUGUCCUGCACAAUCAAUUAUACAGAGCAAGCAAAGCAUCCAAGAGCAAUGAGAGAAAUUAUAGGUAGCCAGCUUAAAUUGUCACUAUGUUACCAUAUUUUUCUUCAGUACUAUGGUCCAUCUGUGCAGUGGCUUAUUAGUUUGAUGAACAUGGGUUUAGACAGAAUUGUAUGGAUGAGAUAAUGAGAAUUGGAUGUUUAUCCAAUCAGUGACCAUAUGGGUGUCAUGCAAGGAAGUGAUAAGAUUGCAAGACAAAUGCUUAACAUGCAUAGUUACUUUUUCUGCGAAGACAUGGGAAUAAAGCCAUGGUGGUGUUGGCAAGUGUUGUUGCAUGCAAAAAUAAUAUACCUUGUGUCGGGGAUACGGGGCUAAAUGACAAGUUCUCUAUAUGAGUCUCGAGCCUUUAUAUCAUUAAGCAUUUCUAAAGAAUAAAUUCAGUACUAAAGUAGCUUUUCGAGAUCGGGUUCUUUUAAUUUUUUUAUGUUUUUCUGCUUUAAUUCUGUUAAUUUUAAUAUAUAAUCUUCGAAUGUAAUAAAGGCAUCUUCUUAUCGGUUCAAAAAGGUUGCUCUUUAGGUAGCUGCUACCCUUCUUCCACUUCAUUAUGAAACAUUUAUUGGAUAAGAGGUAUCUGAUGUAAAAAGUUGAGAUGUUUGGGUGGUCAAAUUAAAUGUUCCUCAUAUGAAGAUCAAUGUCUGAGUGAAUGAAUAGAUGAAUGGGAAGCAGAGAGUGUCGGAAAUUUCAGGGGGUAGUGAUGGAUAAUACGUAUAAGGAGUAACAUAAUAGAACAGCCUGGAAAUGGUCACGAGCAGGAACUGGUUAUUUGAAGAGUCAUAGUCACUGAUAGUACUGUCUUUAUUUCUAGCGGGGAAUGACUCACUAGACUCCAGCAAUCAUAAUCAAGUUGUUUGAGUUGGGACACCAAAUGAUUAUUAAGGAAGUCGAUUUAUGAUUGUCAAAUUUUCUUUCCCCUCUAAUAAAUUACUUCUAAAACUUAAUUUAUUUUCAGUUCAAUUAAUAAGGACAAAUGGAAAAUCUAUGUGGUAUCUAAUUAUGAAACAUGAUGUGUCAUGUCAUGAUCUUGGGUGGAUAAUGAGUUCAAGAGAUAAGUGAACCAAAC
rnacentral:lncRNA from 1 species